rnacentral:rRNA from 1 species
UGGGGAAUAUUGCACAAUGGGCGGAAGCCUGAUGCAGCAACGCCGCGUGCGGGAUGACGGCCUUCGGGUUGUAAACCGCUUUCGCCUGUGACGAAGCGUGAGUGACGGUAAUGGGUAAAGAAGCACCGGCUAACUACGUGCCAGCAGCCGCGGUGAUACGUAGGGUGCGAGCGUUGUCCGGAUUUAUUGGGCGUAAAGGGCUCGUAGGUGGUUGAUCGCGUCGGAAGUGUAAUCUUGGGGCUUAACCCUGAGCGUGCUUUCGAUACGGGUUGACUUGAGGAAGGUAGGGGAGAAUGGAAUUCCUGGUGGAGCGGUGGAAUGCGCAGAUAUCAGGAGGAACACCAGUGGCGAAGGCGGUUCUCUGGGCCUUUCCUGACGCUGAGGAGCGAAAGCGUGGGGAGCGAACAGGCUUAGAUACCCUGGUAGUCCACGCUGUAAACGGUGGGUACUAGGUGUGGGGUCCAUUCCACGGGUUCCGCGCCGUAGCUAACGCUUUAAGUACCCCGCCUGGGGAGUACGGCCGCAAGGCUA